AGAUAAAAAUUACUAAGCGCCUACAAUUAAUUGGUUGUUUAUAAGUCAGAAUAGCAAAUGAGAUAUUAUGUGAAAGGUUGUGCUAAUACUGGAUCCUUUAUGGGUCUGUAGCUCAGUUGGUUAGAGCACACGCUUGAUAAGCGUGGGGUCGGUGGUUCAAGUCCACCCAGACCCACCAAGAUUGGGGGGUGUAGCUCAGCUGGGAGAGCACCUGCUUUGCAAGCAGGGGGUCAUCGGUUCGAUCCCGUUCACCUCCACCAUAAUAGUAUUUGGUUUAAUGAAAAUAAAUUAGUUAUAAAUUAACUGAUUUAGAUUUGUUGAGGAUAGGCAAAAAUAUCUCAUUUAUUGUUAUGAUUUUGCUCUUUAAAAAUAUAGAAAA
rnacentral:tRNA from 1 species